AAAGGGCAGGAGGCCCCCUCAGUUGUCUUUUAGGAGGACACUGAUCCCAUUCGUGAGUGCAGAGCCCUCAAGAUCAAAUCGCCUCCCAAAGCGCCCACCUUGUAAUACUAUCACACUGGGGACUGGGCUCCACAUAUGAAUUCUGGGCAACAGCAACAGAUUGCAGAGCACAGCAAUCUGCAAACGCUCUUCUAAGGCGAUCCUUACCUUUACCACGUGUAUUCCUACAGGGUAUCCUGAGCAGAACUACACCAGAUAGCAUGGUAAAAAACAUUUUUUUAAGGCUGUUAAGGGAUGCAUCUUAAUGUAGCAAUAUAUUUAGCCCAGUAGGGCUAUUCAUUUCAAAUCACAGAGCCAGUCCAAGCUCCAUCACUUCUGGAUGGGGCCAGACUGAGGAGUGGUGACUAUGUGAUGAGUCAAUGUCUUAGUUCAUGUGGUCUUGCUACCCAGGAGGUGAGAUUAAGCUGUCCUUUUAGACCUCAUUUAAAACAUUCUCUAUGACUUCCUUUUGGUGUUUUUAAUAUUCUAUCUUGCACAGCAGUUACAUCUUGAAUUUAAAAUCCCCCCUCUUUGAGCAUUUGUAAGCUAAUGUAGAGGUUCUAAUAUGUGGCAAAUUAUAAUUUUUCUGAUGCCCAAGACUUGGACACUGCAGGGUGGACCCCAGGGGUGGGUUCCUGCCUCUACCCGGACUCUGGCCUCACUGUGGCUUCAUCAUCUCAUGCUCGGCCCUGACCUCCUUCCUCCCAUGGCAAGAGCCUGUGGAAGACCGGUUAAGACGACUCAGGAGGUGGCUGUCCCCAGCCAUGCGGUGGCCCGUGCAGUGACAGACGCAGACCAUUCCCCCGUCCUGCACAGGGACCCAGGGGCACCUGCGUUGUCACCUUCAGCCCGGUCCACGACCUCAGGUGAGCAGGGGUCACACGGCAGCUGGAACAGUCCCUUCCCCCCAGAAUUCCUGAGGGGUCACAGCCUUUGCAGCAGCGGCCUGCUCUUCCUUUUCAAUGUCUCCAGGCUCCCUGUGGAAGCAGAGAUCAGGCGUGAGCUGCUAUGGGCACCCACGGGAGGUGCCACCAUGCACAGAACCUCCCGGGCCAGCACGCACCGUGUCAGACCCAGGGAGUGAGCGCCCAGCCAUGUUUCACAGGUUUGAAUCUCUCCUCAAAGCUCUCAGACGUGACAAUUACUAUCAAGUCGCACUCGCUGGGCCAGAGAAUCGUGGUGUGGGUGAAGAGCUGUCUCCUCAUGCAGCACGUGGCCUGACUCUGUUCUCUUUAAUGCUCACCCUCUUCCCCCUUUCAUCACAGCCUGUUCUUAGGCCGUGGCUUUCUGUUCUUGUUUCAUGGCAUCACUGUCUCUGUGUAUUUUGUUAGGGAUGGAAAACUGUUUCCAGAACAAUUUAUUUCCAGUUAAUCUAGUAAAUCAUCCUCAGUUUCCAAAAUAAUUUAUUAUUCCUGGUUUGAGUAGUAAAUCAUGUCCAAAAGUCUCUUCAUCUUCUUCUGAGUCAUCAGGGUUGUUGUUUCUUUCAAUGUUUUUGAAUUUUUUAUUCCAAUUGGCAGCAUAUUGAUGUUUUUCUUUUUAGUUCACUUUUAGAAGAAGAAAUAUUUACCUAGACUUGAAGAUGGCCUCCAACACAGUGUGUCAACUAUCAUUGUUGGUGAGAUCACUGGUUACGGCUCAUAGUGGCAGACAAUAGAAUGCAUUCCAGUUACUAGCAGAAGAAAGUGAUCUAUCAGCUGGUCUGAUGGAUCUUACAGAACCUCAGUGAGAGUCCGAGAGUAGGAUUUGAUUGAUACACAGUUGGAAACAAUGGCAAUCAAGGGAAAUGCCCAACCAUAUGUGGAACUUCUCUAGUGGAAACACCAGUGUUGCCAUCACCUUCUGCUCAGUACCUAAGAUUCUGGGACCCAGAGUCUCCAAACUGCCAGAACUGUUCCAGGAGAGCCAACAUGCCUAUUGCUUGGGAAGACCUCCAACUUCCCUGAGCAUGAGCAGGGCCACUGCCUCCCAUUGCUCAUGUCCUCCUACUCUCACCUGGACAUCUGCCUAGCAGAAUCUAAUCCACAUCCAAAAUCCUGGCUCUGGUAAGUGGGGUUUAUAGUUUCCGUGAGUCUGUGGUACUGGAAGGAUCACUAACAGGAAGUGGGAAUGGCAGUUGAGUGAGCUGCUGGAAAAUCUGCUGCACUAAACAAGUUUAGUGAUGGAUGGAACACCUUGGCCCACGAUCCCAGGUCUAGAUGGCCUUCAUCCAUGGUGGUUUUGCUGUACAGGAGUGGGUCUUCCUUCACACCACUGAUUUCUUAGGACCCUGUACCAAUGAAGGAUAUUUUAAAGAUCACAAUUCAUUCUUGAACUAACUCUAGGGCUCCUUAUACCUUCAUCUUCCCUCACCAGAAUUUAUUUUCUCAAAUGAAAUGUGUCAUCAACAAUCUCUCCCCAAACACUUCACACCGCAACUUCCGACAUUCACUAGUUUUUUGAGAGUUUUGGUCUCUGGGUGGAAUUACAAGUAUGUGGAGAGAAAAAGGAGAGGGGGAUUCUUACCACCAACACGGUUGAGAACCAGCUGCAGAGUUUCUGGGUUGGUAUAGGUUCUGGGUGCAUGAGUUAGGCAGAGAAUUGAUGCAGGAAGGGGCUUGGGUAAACCAAAUGACUUGUUUUCAGGCAUUUGGGCUACCUCUAAGCAGAAUUCUACAGGUACUGUCCUAUGAUUUUAUAAAAUUACAAAGUCAUUCAUUUAUAUAUUAGAAGAGUUUUUUUUCUCUCUUGGCAAAAAUGAUGCCUGGCUUUUCAACAAACGUUGCCAGAAUAAGUAGGUACCUACAUACAAAAGAAUGCAGUUGGGGCCCUGCCUCAUAACAUACACAAAAAUUAACUCAACAUGGAUCCUGGGCACAAAUGGAAGAGCUAAAAAUGUAAGAUGAAAUGUAAGAUAUACAAAUGGUCAAUAAGCACAGGAAAAGAUGCUCAACAUCAUUAGUAUUGCAAGAAAUGCAAAUCAAAACCACAAUCUGAUACAUGUCAUACCCACUGGGAUGGCAAAAGUGAAGAAAAAAGGCAAUAACUAAUGUUGGCAAAGAUGUGGAAAAACUGGAACCAUCAUUCAUUGCUGGUGGGAAUUUAAAAUAAUGCAGAUGCUUUGGAAAACAGUUUGGCAAUUCUUCACAAAGUUCAAUCUAAAGUUACUGUAUGACUCAGCAAUUCUACUCCAUGAGUAUUGAAAACAUAUGUCCACACAAAAAUGUGUACACAAAUGUUUACAGCAGCAAUAGUAUAGCUAUUAUUAUUCAUAAUAUCCAGAGAGUGGAAAAGCAUCAACUGAUGG
ensembl:lincRNA